rnacentral:rRNA from 1 species
UACACAUGCAGUCGAGCGGUAACACAAGGGAGCUUGCUCUUUGGAGGUGACGAGCGGCGGACGGGUGAGUAAUGCCUAGGGAUCUGCCCAGUCGAGGGGGAUAACAGUUGGAAACGACUGCUAAUACCGCAUACGCCCUACGGGGAAAGGAGGGGACCUUCGGGCCUUCCGCGAUUGGAUGAACCUAGGUGGGAUUAGCUAGUUGGUGAGGUAAUGGCUCACCAAGGCGACGAUCCCUAGCUGUUCUGAGAGGAUGAUCAGCCACACUGGGACUGAGACACGGCCCAGACUCCUACGGGAGGCAGCAGUGGGGAAUAUUGCACAAUGGGGGAAACCCUGAUGCAGCCAUGCCGCGUGUGUGAAGAAGGCCUUCGGGUUGUAAAGCACUUUCAGUAGGGAGGAAAGGUGAUGUGUUAAUAGCACAUUGCUGUGACGUUACCUACAGAAGAAGGACCGGCUAACUCCGUGCCAGCAGCCGCGGUAAUACGGAGGGUCCGAGCGUUAAUCGGAAUUACUGGGCGUAAAGCGUGCGCAGCGGUUUGUUAAGCCAGAUGUGAAAUCCCCGGGCUCAACCUGGGAAUUGCAUUUGGAACUGGCGAACUAGAGUCUUGUAGAGGGGGGUAGAAUUCCAGGUGUAGCGGUGAAAUGCGUAGAUAUCUGGAGGAAUACCGGUGGCGAAGCGGCCCCCUGGACAAAGACUGACGCUCAUGCACGAAAGCGUGGGGA